rnacentral:rRNA from 1 species
CCUACGGGAGGCAGCAGUGAGGAAUAUUGGUCAAUGGGCGUAAGCCUGAACCAGCCAAGUAGCGUGAGGGAUGAAGGUUCUAUGGAUUGUAAACUUCUUUUAUAAGGGAAUAAAGUGAGGGACGUGUGCCUUUUUGUAUGUACUUUAUGAAUAAGGAUCGGCUAACUCCGUGCCAGCAGCCGCGGUAAUACGGAGGAUCCGAGCGUUAUCCGGAUUUAUUGGGUUUAAAGGGUGCGUAGGUGGCCUGUAAAGUAAGUUGUGAAAGUUUGGGGCUCAACAGUAAAAUUGCAAUUGAUACUGGGAGUCUUGAGGACAGUUGAGGCAGGCGGAAUGCGUGGUGUAGCGGUGAAAUGCUUAGAUAUCACGCAGAACCCCGAUUGCGAAGGCAGCCUGCCAAGCCAUCACUGACGCUGAUGCUCGAAAGCGUGGGGAUCAAACAGGAUUAGAUACCCCAGUAGUC